rnacentral:rRNA from 1 species
UACGAGUGCCCCAAGCGUUAUCCGGAAUUAUUGGGCGUAAAGGGUGUGUAGGUGGUUAUGUUAGUCUUCUGUUAAAGCUCUCGGCUUAACCGGGAACAUGCAGAGGAAACGGCAUGACUAGAGGAUGUGAGAGGUGUACAGAACUCAUGGUGUAGGGGUGAAAUCCGUUGAUAUCAUGGGGAAUACCAAAAGCGAAGGCAGUACACUGGCGCAUUCCUGACACUGAAACACGAAAGCGUGGGUAGCGAAUGGG